AUCCAACUGACGAGUCCCAAACAAGACGAAACGCGCGUCCUGGAU
rnacentral:hammerhead_ribozyme from 1 species